CAGUCGCCGCGGGAAUACGAAGGGUGCAAGCGUUAAUCGGAAUUACUGGGCGUAAAGCGCGCGUAGGCGGCUUUUUAAGUCAGAGGUGAAAGCCCGGGGCUCAACCCCGGAAUUGCCUUUGAAACUGGAAAGCUAGAAUCUUGGAGAGGUCAGUGGAAUUCCGAGUGUAGAGGUGAAAUUCGUAGAUAUUCGGAAGAACACCAGUGGCGAAGGCGACUGACUGGACAAGUAUUGACGCUGAGGUGCGAAAGCGUGGGGAGCAAACAGGAUUAGAUACCCCCGUAGUCCCUGUCUCUUAUAC
rnacentral:rRNA from 1 species